rnacentral:rRNA from 2 species
GGGUUGUGAGGUUAAGCGACUAAGCGUACACGGUGGAUGCCCUGGCAGUCAGAGGCGAUGAAGGGCGUGCUAAUCUGCGAUAAGCGCCGGUAAGGUGAUAUGAACCGUUAUAACCGGCGAUACCCGAAUGGGGAAACCCAGUGUGACUCGUCACACUAUCAUUAACUGAAUCCAUAGGUUAAUGAGGCGAACCGGGGGAACUGAAACAUCUAAGUACCCCGAGGAAAAGAAAUCAACCGAGAUUCCCCCAGUAGCGGCGAGCGAACGGGGAGGAGCCCAGAGCCUGAAUCAGCAUGUGUGUUAGUGGAAGCGUCUGGAAAGGCGCGCGAUACAGGGUGACAGCCCCGUACACAAAAGCGCAUGUGCUGUGAGCUCGAUGAGUAGGGCGGGACACGUGGUAUCCUGUCUGAAUAUGGGGGGACCAUCCUCCAAGGCUAAAUACUCCUGACUGACCGAUAGUGAACCAGUACCGUGAGGGAAAGGCGAAAAGAACCCCGGCGAGGGGAGUGAAAAAGAACCUGAAACCGUGUACGUACAAGCAGUGGGAGCACAGGUUUACCUGUGUGACUGCGUACCUUUUGUAUAAUGGGUCAGCGACUUAUAUUCUGUAGCAAGGUUAACCGAAUAGGGGAGCCGGAGGGAAACCGAGUCUUAAUUGGGCGUUAAGUUGCAGGGUAUAGACCCGAAACCCGGUGAUCUAGCCAUGGGCAGGUUGAAGGUUGGGUAACACUAACUGGAGGACCGAACCGACUAAUGUUGAAAAAUUAGCGGAUGACCUGUGGCUGGGGGUGAAAGGCCAAUCAAACCGGGAGAUAGCUGGUUCUCCCCGAAAGCUAUUUAGGUAGCGCCUCGUGAAUUCAUCUCCGGGGGUAGAGCACUGUUUCGGCUAGGGGGCCAUCCCGGCUUACCAACCCGAUGCAAACUGCGAAUACCGGAGAAUGUUAUCACGGGAGACACACGGCGGGUGCUAACGUCCGUCGUGAAGAGGGAAACAACCCAGACCGCCAGCUAAGGUCCCAAAGUCAUGGUUAAGUGGGAAACGAUGUGGGAAGGCCCAGACAGCCAGGAUGUUGGCUUAGAAGCAGCCAUCAUUUAAAGAAAGCGUAAUAGCUCACUGGUCGAGUCGGCCUGCGCGGAAGAUGUAACGGGGCUAAACCAUGCACCGAAGCUGCGGCAGCGACACUGUGUGUUGUUGGGUAGGGGAGCGUUCUGUAAGCCUGCGAAGGUGGCCUGUGAGGG